rnacentral:misc_RNA from 1 species
AGCAGCCGCGGUAAUUCCAGCUCCAAUAGCGUAUAUUAAAGUUGUUGCAGUUAAAAAGCUCGUAGUUGAAUUUCGGGAUCAAUAUGUUUGGUCGUGCCUCGGUACGUACUAGCUUAUUGGUUUCUCCCUUCUGAAGAACCAUGAUGUCAUUUAUUUGGUGUCGUGGGGAAUCAGGACUGUUACUUUGAAAAAAUUAGAGUGUUUAAAGCAGGCUCACGCUUGAAUACAUUAGCAUGGAAUAAUGAAAUAGGACGUUUGAUUCUAUUUUGUUGGUUUCUAGGAUCGACGUAAUGAUUAAUAGGGAUAGUUGGGGGCAUUAGUAUUCAAUUGUCAGAGGUGAAAUUCUUGGAUUUAUUGAAGACUAACUACUGCGAAAGCAUUUGCCAAGGAUGUUUUCAUUAAUCAAGAACGAAAGUUAGGGGAUCGAAGACGAUCAGAUACCGUCGUAGUCUUAACCAUAAACUAUGCCGACUAGGGAUCGGAUGAUGUUAAUUUUUUAAUGACUCAUUCGGCGCCUUAC